rnacentral:hammerhead_ribozyme from 1 species
AUCCAGCUGACAAGUCCCUAAUAGGACGAAACGCGCGUCCUGGAU